AGAGUUUGAUCCUGGCUCAGGACGAACGCUGGCGGCGUGCUUAAUACAUGCAAGUCGAGCGAGGUUACUGGAGAGGAGCCCUUCGGGAUGAAGCUGCUUUAACCUAGCGGCGGACGGGUGAGUAACGCGUGGGUAACCUACCCCAAAGUCCGGGAUAACAGCGGGAAACCGCUGCUAAUACCGGAUGCCUUUACCUUGGGGCAUCUUGAGGUAAAGAAAGGCAACGCUUUGGGAUGGGCCCGCGUCCCAUUAGCUAGUUGGUGAGGUAACGGCUCACCAAGGCGACGAUGGGUAGCCGGCCUGAGAGGGUGGACGGCCACACUGGGACUGAGACACGGCCCAGACUCCCACGGGAGGCAGCAGUAGGGAAUAUUGCGCAAUGGACGGAAGUCUGACGCAGCGACGCCGCGUGAGCGAUGAAGGCCUUCGGGUCGUAAAGCUCUGUCCUUGGGGAAGAAGGCGAAAGCUUGACGGUACCCAAGAAGAAAGCCCCGGCUAACUACGUGCCAGCAGCCGCGGUA
rnacentral:rRNA from 1 species